GAUGAACGCUAGCUACAGGCUUAACACAUGCAAGUCGAGGGGCAGCAUGCUCUUAGCUUGCUAAGGCCGAUUGCGACCGGCGCACGGGAGAGUAACACGUCUUCAACCUGCCGUCUACACUUGUACAGGCUUCUGGAGGGAAGAUUAAUACAAGAUGGCAUCAUGAGUCUGGAUGUUCACAUGAUUAAAGGUAUUCCGGUAGACGAUGGGGAUGCGUGCCAUUGGAUAGUGGGCGGGGUUACGGCCCACCUAGUCUUCGAUGGAUAGGGGUUCUGAGAGGAAGGUCCCCCAGAUUGGAACUGGGACACGGGCCAAACUCCUACGGGAGGCAGCAGUGAGGAAUAUUGGUCAAGGGGCGAGAGCCUGAACCAGCCAAGUAGCGUGAAGGAUGACUGCCCUAUGGGUUGUAAACUUCUUUUAUAAAGGAAUAAAGUCGGGUAUGGAUACCCGUUUGCAUGUACUUUAUGAAUAAGGAUCGGCUAACUCCGUG
rnacentral:rRNA from 1 species